UCUUUACAACGUUUAAAGUUCUUAUACGAUACACAAGAAUAAAGGAAUUAUUUGAAAAUGAAUUUCUCAAAGAUAUUUUUCUUCGUAUUCGCUUGCUUCUUGGCACUUUCCUCUGCAUCGCCUAAGUGGAGAAUAUUUAAGAAAAUCGAACAUAUGGGACGGAAUGUUCGAGACGGAAUCAUCAAAGCGGGACCAGCCAUCCAAGUAGUCGGACAGGCCAGCUCGAUAUACAAACAAGGAUGAAUUAAUUAAAUACUCAAUAAUUAUUGUGCCAAAUAUUAGUAUUAACACUUACAUUAAGUAUUAUUUAUUAAAUCCCUUUUUUUAAA